rnacentral:lncRNA from 1 species
GGAACCUUUCCGGAACCAUAAGCCAGCAUGGUGAUAUGCACCAUCCGGAGACAAAGUUUGAUACAUCCACUAAAACAUACGCUAAACUAAAAGAAGAAGAGAAGUUGAUAAGGAGCAUAGGGAGAUAAGCGAAGAAUUUCAAAAAUGGAAAAGCUAAACGGCCGAAAGCAUAUAUGAAAGAAAAAGCGAUGCAAGCUUAAUUAUCUGAGUUGGAAGAUGAUCUCCUAUAACGUUUUCACCAGUGCAGCACGUUCAACCACCACACAUAAAAUUUCUUCCUCUACAAGAAGCCACAUAGAACCAAUCUUCAACCCGAGCAGCUAAAGAAGACGCGGUUGGUAAUUAACUACUCAAAGAUUGCAUGCAAUUGAGCUAUGGCUCCACAAUUCCUUACCAAGUAAUCCGGAAAACCUGUUGGUUUCAAAUCAAGGAACUACAUUACAUCUCAGCCCCGGAGUUUCACCGACUGAAGAGAACAAAACCAAGACCAGAGGACUAACAACGAGGGUAUACCAAGGAUAACCACCAUUAAGAGCUAGAAACCUCAAAGGAGACAGAGCAAAACCAACUUCCAUGGCAGAGAAACUCUACCGUAAAAAGCAGAAAAUGAUAACUCCCAACAAAACCAUCAGACCAAACACACUCCACAAAUCUCUCAAAACAAAACACCAAACCCCUAAAUCUAAAUUCGCUACACUCGCUCAAGUUGUCUCCAUGAAGAAACCUCAGACUGAAGCUCCACAAGAACGACCCACAAGCGCCGACCUUGACACAGAACCGAACUUAUAUCGAGAGGUUUUGAACUUAGAUCUAGGCUAAGACAGAACAAAGCUUAAAACCUAUGUGAAACAGAGAGUUUUCAAUACACACUGGAAGAGUCAAGAAACCAGGAGAGACACAACAGACCACCAUAGAAAUACUUUAGCUUUGCCUCACCUGAACCGAUGGAAGAAGUACCACCCCACAUCAUAGCCGGUAUAACCUGCACUGCACAGCAGAAAAAGCUUCGGAUGUAGUCAAUCAGCCUAAGCAAUCGACAGGAAGAGAUCGACAUCGAGUCCCUUAUCUCCAACUCCCCUGUUUCUUGGAAGCCUCUUCUCAGCCUACAAACGACACUAUACUAGACUAAGGACCUUCUCACAGCACGGACGAAGGUCGCCGGAUACCGGAGAAGGUAAGACCAAUGAACACUCUUUUUCUCUUGCGGUAGCUCUAGGGUUUUCUCUCAAAGGUUUUUUUUUUC